rnacentral:rRNA from 1 species
GACGAACGCUGGCGGCGUGCUUAACACAUGCAAGUCGAGCGGUAAGGCCCUUUCGGGGGUACGACGAGCGGCGAACGGGUGAGUAACACGUGGGUGACCUGCCCUCAGCUCUGGGAUAAGCCUGGGAAACCGGGUCUAAUACUGGAUAUGACUCCAUGACGCAUGUUGUGGGGUGGAAAGCCUUGUGCGGCUGAGGAUGGGCCCGCGGCCUAUCAGCUUGUUGGUGGGGUGAGGCCUACCAAGGCGACGAUGGGUAGCCGGCCUGAGAGGGCGACCGGCCACACUGGGACUGAGACACGGCCCA